AUUGAACGCUGGCGGCAGGCCUAACACAUGCAAGUCGAGCGGUAGAAGGGAGCUUGCUCCUGGAUUCAGCGGCGGACGGGUGAGUAAUGCCUAGGAAUCUGCCUGGGAGUGGGGGAUAACGUUCGGUACCGGGCGCUAAUACCGCAUCCGUCCUGAGGGAGAAAGUGAGGGAUCUUCGGACCCCACGCUAUCAGAUGAGCCUAGGUCGGAUUAGCUAGUUGGUGGGGUAAAGGCCUACCAAGGCGACGAUCCGUAACUGGUCUGAGAGGAUGAUCAGUCACACUGGAACUGAGACACGGUCCAGACUCCUACGGGAGGCAGCAGUGGGGAAUAUUGGACAAUGGGCGAAAGCCUGAUCCAGCCAUGCCGCGUGUGUGAAGAAGGUCUUCGGAUUGUAAAGCACUUUAAGUUGGGAGGAAGGGCAGUAAGUUAAUACCUUGCUGUUUUGACGUUACCAACAGAAUAAGCACCGGCUAACUUCGUG
rnacentral:rRNA from 1 species